ACGGGAGGCAGCAGUCGGGAAUAUUGCGCAAUGGAGGAAACUCUGACGCAGUGACGCCGCGUAUAGGAAGAAGGUUUUAGGAUUGUAAACUAUUUUAGUCAGGGAAGAAAAAUGACGGUACCUGAAGAAUAAGCUCCGGCUAACUACGUGCCAGCAGCCGCGGUAAUACGUAGGGAGCAAGCGUUAUCCGGAAUUAUUGGGUGUAAAGGGUGCGUAGACGGGAAUUUAAGUUAGUUGUGAAAUCCCUCGGCUCAACUGAGGAACUGCAACUAAAACUGAAUUUCUUGAGUGCAGGAGAGGAAAGCGGAAUUCCUAGUGUAGCGGUGAAAUGCGUAGAUAUUAGGAGGAACACCAGUGGCGAAGGCGGCUUUCUGGACUGUAACUGACGUUGAGGCACGAAAGUGUGGGGAGCAAACAGGAUUAGAUACCCUGGUA
rnacentral:rRNA from 1 species